AUGGAGCCGACCUUGAAAUACCACCCUUUAAUGUUUGAUGUUCUAACGUUGACCCGUAAUCCGGGUUGCGGACAGUGUCUGGUGGGUAGUUUGACUGGGGCGGUCUCCUCCUAAAGAGUAACGGAGGAGCACGAAGGUUGGCUAAUCCUGGUCGGACAUCAGGAGGUUAGUGCAAUGGCAUAAGCCAGCUUGACUGCGAGCGUGACGGCGCGAGCAGGUGCGAAAGCAGGUCAUAGUGAUCCGGUGGUUCUGAAUGGAAGGGCCAUCGCUCAACGGAUAAAAGGUACUCCGGGGAUAACAGGCUGAUACCGCCCAAGAGUUCAUAUCGACGGCGGUGUUUGGCACCUCGAUGUCGGCUCAUCACAUCCUGGGGCUGAAGUAGGUCCCAAGGGUAUGGCUGUUCGCCAUUUAAAGUGGUACGCGAGCUGGGUUUAGAACGUCGUGAGACAGUUCGGUCCCUAUCUGCCGUGGGCGCUGGAGAACUGAGGGGGGCUGCUCCUAGUACGAGAGGACCGGAGUGGACGCAUCACUGGUGUUCGGGUUGUCAUGCCAAUGGCACUGCCCGGUAGCUAAAUGCGGAAGAGAUAAGUGCUGAAAGCAUCUAAGCACGAAACUUGCCCCGAGAUGAGUUCUCCCUGACUCCUUGAGAGUCCUGAAGGAACGUUGAAGACGACGACGUUGAUAGGCCGGGUGUGUAAGCGCAGCGAUGCGUUG
rnacentral:rRNA from 1 species